UGGCAGAACAAUUAUUCAAUUUCCAGAACCUCUUGAGGAUCCUCCAUAGUUGACUCCAAUCUUACCACAGAGGCCGAAUGCAACUCUGAGAUGGACCCACCUCGUGUUGCACUCGCCACAGCCCAUUGUUGGGCUUGAACCCGCCAUCAUCUGAUGGAAAAUGUGAUCUAUUGGGCCGAGCUGACCAAUGGCUUCAUGAAAGACUGCAGACUCCGCACAGACUUCCAGCCUUCAUGUGAGGACCACAGCAUAAACGGAUUCAGAACGUCAAUGAGGGAGGGGACUUGUGAACUUUGUUGCAUUGGUUCCGUUUCGCCACUUUGCUGAACCACAUCAUAAAAACACAGCCGAAGAGAAAUUACGGCAAAUUGAGACCAUUUUAAUAUUAAAUUUACGAUGCACUGAUCUAAAAUCUAGGCCCUGCAUCAAUAAACGGAAUCAUGGAACUCAUUUCCUAUAAAAUAAAUGAGGUUUCAAGCACAA